GUAGGUGGCAAGCGUUGUCCGGAAUUAUUGGCCGUAAAGCGCGCGCAGGUGGUUCUUUAAGUCUGAUGUGAAAGCCCCCGGGCUCAACCGGGGAGGGUCAUUGGAAACUGGGGAACUUGAGUGCAGGAGAGGAAAGUGGAAUUCCACGCGUAGCGGUGAAAUGCGUAGAUAUGUGGAGGAACACCAGUGGCGAAGGCGACUUUCUGGCCUGUAACUGACACUGAGGCGCGAAAGCGUGGGGAGCAAACAGGAUUAGAUACCCUGGUAGUCCACGCCGUAAACGAUGAGUGCUAAGUGUUGGGGGGUUUCCGCCCCUCAGUGCUGCAGCUAACGCAUUAAGCACUCCGCCUGGGGAGUACGGUCGCAAAGACUG
rnacentral:rRNA from 1 species